UACGGAGGGGGCUAGCGUUGUUCGGAAUUACUGGGCGUAAAGCGCACGUAGGCGGCUUUGCAAGUUAGAGGUGAAAGCCCGGGGCUCAACUCCGGAAUUGCCUUUAAAACUGCAUCGCUAGAAUCAUGGAGAGGUUAGUGGAAUUCCGAGUGUAGAGGUGAAAUUCGUAGAUAUUCGGAAGAACACCAGUGGCGAAGGCGACUAACUGGACAUGUAUUGACGCUGAGGUGCGAAAGCGUGGGGAGCAAACAGGG
rnacentral:rRNA from 1 species